rnacentral:rRNA from 1 species
GACGAACGCUGGCGGCGUGCCUAAUACAUGCAAGUCGAGCGAGUCUGCCUUGAAGAUCGGAGUGCUUGCACUCUGUGAAACAAGAUACAGGCUAGCGGCGGACGGGUGAGUAACACGUGGGUAACCUGCCCAAGAGAUCGGGAUAACACCUGGAAACAGAUGCUAAUACCAGAUAACAACAGAUGAUGCCUAUCAACUGUUUAAAAGAUGGUUCUGCUAUCACUCUUGGAUGGACCUGCGGUGCAUUAGCUAGUUGGUAGGGUAACGGCCUACCAAGGCGAUGAUGCAUAGCCGAGUUGAGAGACUGAUCGGCCACAUUGGGACUGAGACACGGCCCAAACUCCUACGGGAGGCAGCAGUAGGGAAUCUUCCACAAUGGACGCAAGUCUGAUGGAGCAACGCCGCGUGAGUGAAGAAGGGUUUCGGCUCGUAAAGCUCUGUUGUUGGUGAAGAAGGACAGGGGUAGUAACUGACCUUUGUUUGACGGUAAUCAAUUAGAAAGUCACGGCUAACUACGUG